ACACGACCGUACCGCAAACCGACAUUGGUGCGCGAGAUGAGUAUUCUAAGGCGCUUGAGAGAACUCAGGAGAAGGAACUCGGCAAAUUGACACCGUAACUUCGGAAGAAGGUGUGCCUUUAGUAGGUGAAGUCCCUCGCGGAUGGAGCCCAAUGAGGUUGCAAAAAAUCGGUGGCUGCGACUGUUUAUUAAAAACACAGCACUCUGCAAACACGAAAGUGGACGUAUAGGGUGUGACGCCUGCCCGGUGCUGGAAGAUUAAAUGAUGGGGUGCAAGCUCUUGAUUGAAGUCCCAGUAAACGGCGGCCGUAACAAUAACGGUCCUAAGGUAGCGAAAUUCCUUGUCGGGUAAGUUCCGACCUGCACGAAUGGCGUAACGAUGGCCACACUGUCUCCUCCUGAGACUCAGCGAAGUUGAAAUGUUUGUGAUGAUGCAAUCUCCCCGCGGAAAGACGGAAAGACCCCAUGAACCUUUACUGUAGCUUUGUAUUGGACUUUGAACAGAUCUGUGUAGGAUAGGUGGGAGGCUUUGAAGCAGGGUCGCUAGAUCUUGUGGAGCCAACGUUGAAAUACCACCCUGGUGUGUUUGAGGUUCUAACCUAUGCCCGUAAUCCGGGUUGGGGACAGUGCAUGGUAGGCAGUUUGACUGGGGCGGUCUCCUCCCAAAGUGUAACGGAGGAGUUCGAAGGUACGCUAGUUACGGUCGGACAUCGUGACGAUAGUGCAAUGGCAUAAGCGUGCUUAACUGCGAGACUGACAAGUCGAGCAGAUGCGAAAGCAGGACAUAGUGAUCCGGUGGUUCUGUAUGGAAGGGCCAUCGCUCAACGGAUAAAAGGUACUCUGGGGAUAACAGGCUGAUGCCGCCCAAGAGUUCAUAUCGACGGCGGUGUUUGGCACCUCGAUGUCGGCUCAUCUCAUCCUGGGGCUGUAGCCGGUCCCAAGGGUAUGGCUGUUCGCCAUUUAAAGAGGUACGUGAGCUGGGUUUAAAACGUCGUGAGACAGUUUGGUCCCUAUCUUCCGUGGGCGCUGCAGAUUUGAGGAAGCCUGCUCCUAGUACGAGAGGACCGGAGUGGACGCACCUCUGGUGUAUCGGUUGUCACGCCAGUGGCAUUGCCGAGUAGCUAUGUGCGGAAGAGAUAACCGCUGAAAGCAUCUAAGCGGGAAACUCGUUUCAAGAUGAGAUCUGCCGGGGCCUUGAGCCCCCUGAAGAGUCGUUCAAGACCAGGACGUUGAUAGGUCGGGUGUGGAAGCGCAGUAAUGCGUUAAGCUAACCGAUACUAAUUGCUCGUGCGGCUUGACCCU
rnacentral:rRNA from 1 species